rnacentral:rRNA from 1 species
ACGGAGGAUCCGAGCGUUAUCCGGAUUUACUGGGUUUAAAGGGUGCGUAGGCGGGCCCCUCAGUCAGCGGUGAAAGUCUGCGGCUCAACCGUAGGAUUGCCGUUGAUACUGGGGGCCUUGGAUUCGGUCGAGGCGGGCGGAAUGUGUGGGGUAGCGGUGAAAUGUUUAGAUAUCACGCAUAACGCCGAUUGCGAAGGAGUCUCUCCGGACCAAUAUCGACGCUGAGGCACGUAAGCGUGGUGAUCGAAAAG